UACGGAGGGUGCAAGCGUUAUCCGGAUUCACUGGGUUUAAAGGGUGCGUAGGUGGGCUUGUAAGUCAGUGGUGAAAUCUCCGGGCUUAACCCGGAAACUGCCAUUGAUACUAUAGGUCUUGAAUUUUCUGGAGGACAGCGGAAUAUGUCAUGUAGCGGUGAAAUGCUUAGAUAUGACAUAGAACACCGAUUGCGAAGGCAGCUGUCUACGGGGAUAUUGACACUGAGGCACGAAAGCGUGGGGAUCAAACAGG
rnacentral:rRNA from 1 species